GCCCAACCGUAAACUUUUACUUACAACCCAACCGCCAGAAAACUACGAGCCCUGCUUAAAACUCAAAGGACUUGACGGUAUCCCAUAUCCGACUAGAGGAGCCUGUCCUAUCAUCGAUAAUCCCCGCUAAACCUCACCCCUUUUAGCCAUCUCAGCCUGUAUACUUCCGUCACCAACUUACCACAUGAACGCAACUCAGUGAAUAACCUCGCCUCACCCGCACAAACGUCAGGUCAAAGUGCAGCAAAUAAWGGGGGAAGAGAUGGGCUACAUUCUCUAACAUAGAGCAUACGAAAGACUAAUAUGAAAUCUAGGUCCUGAAGGCGGAUUUAGAAGUAAGGAGAGAAAUAGAGGGCCCCCCUUAACCAGGCACUGGGAUGGGGA
rnacentral:rRNA from 1 species